UGGGAGUUUGUUCGAAUUCGAAAAAAUGGCUUGAAACAUACAAGCUGCAUUGAAUGAUAAAUUCCCCUAGGAAAAUUUGGAAGUUGCAAGUACAGAAGGAAAAGCUUGUGAAGGAAAAAGCGGGUACAUCUGCCCUACGUCAGAAAUAGCAUUCGCUUGCAAAGAUUUCGGUUUUCCACUGAUUUAUCGCGGAAUUGUAUUUGGGAUAUCUACAUUUCAUACUGAACAGUGCAAACCAGGGAACGAUAUGGCUUAUGUAGGAGUAUUUCCAUAUCUAAGAUGGAUCAAAAGCAAUAUGGCAUAGCCAGUACUUUGGUAGUUGCUGCUGGUUGCAUUAAACAGUGGCUUGUUUGAAAUUCACAGCCAAAGAUAUAUGUUUCGAUAUCAAAUAAUACGAAUGAUUCCAUUUUUGAAGAAAAAGAAUAAACAGUUGAAUUUUUC